rnacentral:tRNA from 1 species
GCGCUCGUAGCUCAAUUGGAUAGAGCAACGGCCUUCUAAGCCGUAGGUUACAGGUUCGACCCCUGUCGGGCGCACCA